rnacentral:rRNA from 1 species
UACGAGUGCCUCAAGCGUUAUCCGGAAUCAUUGGGCGUAAAGGGUGUGUAGGUGGUCGCAUUAGUCUUUUGUUAAAUUUCCCGGCUUAACCGGGAACCUGCAAAGGAAACGGUGCGACUAGAGGAUGCAAGGGGUCUGCGGAACUCAUAGUGUAGCGGUGAAAUGCGUUGAUAUUAUGGGGAACACCAAAAGCGAAGGCAGCAGACUAGGGCACUCCUGACACUGAAACACGAAAGCGUGGGUAGCGAAUGGG